rnacentral:rRNA from 1 species
GAUGAACGCUGGCGGCGUGCCUAAUACAUGCAAGUCGAGCGAACAGACGAUGAUCUUGCUGCUCUGACGUUAGCGGCGGACGUGUGAGUCACACGUGUAUACCCUCCCUAUAAGACUGGGAUAACUUCGGGAAAGCGGCUCUUACCCCGGAUGAGAUCUUGAACCGCAUGGUUCGAUAGUGAGAGACGGCGUUUCUGGCUCGUAUCGAUGCAUCCGCGCUGCAUUAGCUAGUUGUUAAGGUAACGGGUUACCAAGGCAACGAUGCCUAGCCGACCUGCGAGGGUGAUCGGCCACACGGGAGCGGAGACACGGUCCAGACUCCUACGAGAGGCAGCAGUAGGGAAUCGUCCGCAAUGGGCGAAAGUCUGACGGAGCAACGCCGCGUGAGUGAUGAAGGUCUUGCGAUCGUAAAACUCUGUUAUUAGGGAAGAACAGAUGUGUAAGUAACUGUGCACGUCGUGACGGUACCGAAUAAGAAAGCCACGGCUAACUACGUG